ensembl:misc_RNA 7SK 7SK RNA
GGUUAUGAGGGAAAACAGGCUGUGACAUCUGUCAACACACUGAUUUCCAGGGUUGAUGCAGAUGGUCUGAGCUGAUCCCUGUUCUCCCUCACACCCCAUUUGUGUUCCUUCCAAAGCUACCUGCUCAUCCACAUUAAUGACCUUCUGAAAGAGGCCUAACCAUGAAGGGUAUUUAAAAGGUAUAUUCCCUGGCUAUAAUUUCUAGACCUGCUCAUCAUGUUUUCAAAGGUCUAUAAAGCUGUAGAGCAAAUAGACAAACUUUGGCUGAGAUGAUUCCA